GGUGGAUUUUCUAAGAAACUUAGAAUGCGUUAAUUGUUACUUGUUUUUUGUUAAUUGUUGGUUUGUUCUGUCCUGCGGACAGUCGCGAACGGCUGAGUAAUACGUAAGUACUUACACCAUGGUGUGGAAUACCUCCGCGAAAGCGGGGCUAAUACCGCAUGACCUCAUGCGUAGCAUGAAGAAUUUCUAAUUGACCUAAUUAACCUAAUAACUAAUCAACAACCAAACACCAAUGAAAGCAGUAUUUUAAUUUUUGUUCAUUGGGAAUUUAAGAAUUGGGGUUUGAUUAGAAAUUAGAAAUUAGAAAUUAGGUAUUUUUCCUGCUAUGCAGGAGAAAAGGACUUAACUGUCCGCCGAGGGAAAGGCUUGCGGCCCAUCAGCUAGUUGGUAGGGUAAUGGCUUACCAAGGCUACGACGGGUAGGGGAUGUGAGAGCAUGUUCCCCCAGAAUGGGACUGAGACACGGCCCAUACACCUACGGGUGGCAGCAACUGGGAAUCGUACGCAAUGGACGAAAGUCUGACGUCGCGACGCCGCGUGAGGGAUGAAGGCGGCUAACUCCGUGCCAGCAGCAGCGGUAAUACGGAGGGUGCAAGCGUUAUCCGGAUUUAUUGGGCGUAAAGCGUUUCGUAGGCGAUGAAAUAAGUCACUUUUCAAAGACCACGGCUUAACCGGGGGAAGGGGAGUGAUACUAUUUUAUUUGAAUCAUUUAGGGGCUACCGGAACUAUCGGUGUAGGGGUGAAAUCCGUUGAUAUCGAUAGGAACACCAAGGGCGAAGGCAGGUAGCUGGGAGUUGAUUGACGCUGAGGAACGAAAGCUAGGGGAGCGAAAGGGAUUAGAGACCCCUGUAGUCCUAGCCGUAAACUAUGCUCGCUAGCCCUCUGUCCGAGUUUACUCGGUGGGGAGCGUAAGCUAACGCGUUAAGCGAGCCGCCUGGGGAGUACGAACGCAAGUUUAAAACUCAAAGGAAUUGACGGGGACCCGCACAACCAGUGGAGCAUGUG
rnacentral:ncRNA from 1 species